GGGACCCGUCUUGAAACACGGACCAAGGAGUCUAGCAUGUGCGCGAGUCAUUGGGACUCUAACGAAACCUAAAGGCGUAAUGAAAGUGAAGGCUCGCCUAGCGCGGGCCGAGGGAGGAUGGGUGUCCCCGAGGGGACGCCUCGCACUCCCAGGGCGUCUCGUUCUCAUUGCGAGAAGAGGCGCACCAUGAGCGUACACGCUGGGACCCGAAAGAUGGUGAACUAUGCCUGGUCAGGACGAAGUCAGGGGAAACCCUGAUGGAGGUCCGUAGCGAUUCUGACGUGCAAAUCGAUCGUCGGAACUGGGUAUAGGGGCGAAAGACUAAUCGAACCAUCUAGUAGCUGGUUCCCUCCGAAGUUUCCCUCAGGAUAGCUGGCGCUCGCUUCUCGCGAGUCUCAUUCGGUAAAGCGAAUGAUUAGAGGCAUUGGGGUCGAAACGGCCUCAACCUAUUCUCAAACUUUAAAUGGGUGAGAUCUCCGGCUUGCUUGAACUGUGAAGCCGCGAGAUAUCGGAUCAGAGUGCCAAGUGGGCCACUUUUGGUAAGCAGAACUGGCGCUGUGGGAUGAACCAAACGCUGAGUUAAAGCGCCUAAAUCGACGCUUAUGGGAUACCAUGAAAGGCGUUGGUAACUUAAGACAGCAGGACGGUGGCCAUGGAAGUCGGAAUCCGCUAAGGAGUGUGUAAA
rnacentral:rRNA from 1 species